CAAAAGCAGAGAAAAAAUCCAGAAAAUACAAAGCAGUAUUUUACUAUUUUAUAUAGGACUUGAGUGCUAGAAUUCCAUAAAUAUACACAGAAAUUUCUAUUGUUUCAUUGAUCUCUUAUCUGCCUUCUAAAAUUUACCAUCUCUUAAGUACCUUAUAGUUCAUUUGAGGUUGAUACGAAAUGAUUUGAUUUUUAAAAAUUGCUACGAAGUUGGUUUUUGGUUUGUUGGAGGGCAUAUACUAUUUCAUCGAAUGCUCUUUCUGAAGUUUUUUGAUUUCGGGAACAACUUUUCGUUCUUCUGAGGCUUGAUAAGCUGAUUUUUAGAUUUUUAAAAGCUUGGUCUAGUGUGUGCUAUUUAGUUACUAGUCUAUUAGUAUUUUUGAGUUGAUUUCAUAUUUGAAUCUUUAAUCUGGGCACUUUGUUGUUGCUGCUCGACUGAUUCCUCCUCCUUCUAUUUCAUUUUACUGCUAGGUACACAUUUCUCAAAUUCAAACAAUGUGAAUAUGCAAAGUUGGAAGUUGAAAUGGAAUAAAUACAUUGAUAUUGAGUAUAAUUUUUAGCAUGCUUCUUCUUCUUUCUGAUUCAUGUUGUUCUUCGAAAACAAUUUGUAUUUACCUUAGGAUUUGGUCAUGUUCUAGUUGAGUAGUAAUUGUAUUCAUAACCUAACUUACCGGUUUAUUUUACUUUUUUCUAUUAGUCUUGCUUUAUUUUUUUAGGAUUGAAUCUGGAUGAUGUUAUUUGACUAAAUAAAAGCUAUUUUGAAUCACUAGUCAUGUGUUAAGUAAGAAUGUCUCAGGUGGCUGUAGUGUAUCUUUGAAUUUAGUGUGCAGUAUGGGCAAUUGUUUCUUUGAGACGGGAUGUGAUUUAUUGGUUUCAGGGUUUUUUUUAGCUUGACCAUAUCCAUGUUGCUAUAAGUUUUUUUUAUGUGCAAAAAGUUGUAGAUGUAAUGGUAUGUUUAAAAUUGAAUUUGAAUACAUAUGAGUUUGAUAUUAAAAAUUUGAGUAGUAAUUGUAUUCAUAACCUAGCUCACUGGUUUGUUUACUUUCAUCCAUUCAUCCUGCUUUGUUUUCUAUAAGAAUUGAAUCUGGAUGCUGUUAAUUUGACUGAUUCAAAGCUAUUUUGAAUCACUAGUCAGGUGUUAAGUGAGGGUUUCUCAGUCUGCUGUAGUGUACCAUUGGAUCUACUAUGCAGAAUGGGUUGGUAUUUGCUUGAGAUGGGAUGUGAUUCAGUGAUUUCAGAGAGUGUUUUAGCUUAAUCAUGUUCAUGUUGACAUAAGAUUUUCAAUAUAUAUG
rnacentral:lncRNA from 1 species